GUGUGUAUGUCUGUGUGUGUAUGUGUCAGUAUGUCUGUGUGUCUGUGUGUAUGUCAGCAUGUCUGUCAUAGACACACACAGACAUACUGACAUACAUACACAAACAGACAU